CUGUAUACAUAGCAUGUGUCAGUCGCUAUCGGAACAACCACGAGGUUAGUCGGGGGCCUUGGUUAAUCUUGCAGGUUUUUCUUCGUCAUCCCCUGGGAUACUGAUUGUAUCACGUGUGCUAUAUUUGUACUGGUGACAUUUAAAACUGAAGAAAACCAAGGACCACGUGUUGGUGCAUAAAACAAUGAAACAUGUGAAAAUCUAGCGCCCUAAAUUAUAAAUACGGAAGGAUUCAACGUAAUAUAAAUUGUUUUAGUUCAUCUUAAUUUAUCAAUUUGAAUAUGUAAUAAGAGAUGCCAUAAUGCUGUUCUUGAAAUUUUUGCAAGCUACGAAUUGAAGUCAUUGACGAUGGAACAAAGGAGGUGCCCAGAAUGUUUUAGUUUUCUCACGACAUAUGAGUGAUCAAAGAGAAUCUGAUGUGAAGUCAUGAAUGAUGGAACAAAGGAGGUCCCCAGAAUGUUUUAAUGUUCUCAUCACAUAUGAGUGAUCAAAGAGAAUCUGGUGUGAAAGAAGUGAAACCAAAAUACACAAGUUUAAAAAAAUCUGAAAACAAGUUAAUUGAUGGAUAAUAAAAGUUAUAACUACUUGUUUGGAUUAUUACACAGUUUACGGUAAAAACAGAUUCGGUGCCCUUAUUUGUUUCCAAAAGGAUGUGCAGAAGGCCAUUUAUAAAAUAGCAAGGGCGCAAGAAACAAAGAAACUUUUCAGUAGUUGUAAGUUUCUUAGGACAAAUAAGAAGUUACACUGGCAUGAAAUUUUAGAAAGAAAGGAAUUGAAAUGAAUCAGGAACGUAAAUAUAAAAGCAUUUAACUAUGAAACUAAAGAGCUAUCCACCAAGUUGCAAGUUCCUUAGGACAAAUGAAAAAUUAAACUGGGAUGUCAUUUUAUGAGGAAAGGAUAGAAAAUGAACC